GAGACAGGUGGUGCAUGGCUGUCGUCAGCUCGUGUCGUGAGAUGUUGGGUUAAGUCCCGCAACGAGCGCAACCCUUGUCAUUAGUUGCCAUCAUUAAGUUGGGCACUCUAAUGAGACUGCCGGUGACAAACCGGAGGAAGGUGGGGAUGACGUCAAGUCAUCAUGCCCCUUAUGACCUGGGCUACACACGUGCUACAAUGGACGGUACAACGAGAAGCGAACCUGCGAAGGCAAGCGGAUCUCUUAAAGCCGUUCUCAGUUCGGACUGUAGGCUGCAACUCGCCUACACGAAGCUGGAAUCGCUAGUAAUCGCGGAUCAGCACGCCGCGGUGAAUACGUUCCCGGGCCUUGUACACACCGCCCGUCACACCAUGAGAGUCUGUAACACCCAAAGCCGGUGGGAUAACCUUUAUAGGAGUCAGCCGUCUAAGGUAGGACAGAUGAUUAGGGUGAAGUCGUAACAAGGUAGCCGUAGGAGAACCUGCGGUUGGAUCACCUC
rnacentral:rRNA from 1 species